CUACAGUCGACACGGCGAGCUUUCGCCUGAUAACGUGCUUAGCUAACUUCAAGUUUAAACAGAUGUUGACUUUUUUAGAUUACCCUUGGAAUUCAAGGCACAGACUGUUAUUUUAACUCCCAGAUCUUACAUACAGGGGUGGCUGAUAUUCAUUCCUCACCCUACUGGGGAUCCUGCAGCCUUCCCUGAUGACGACCGAGCAGAGCGGAGACCUCUUGGAAGAUGAUUCCCGGCAGGAAAAUGGAUUCGAGUCGAACCAUUACAGCUCCAUCUCUCCUCCUGCCUCACCCGUGGCCCAAGAGGAACCGUUCUCCACCUACUUUGAGGAGAGGGUACCCAUUCCAGAAAGUCCCAACCAGAUAUUCAGUUUCCGUAAACUCUGGGCCUUCACCGGACCGGGGUUUUUGAUGAGCAUUGCUUACUUGGAUCCUGGGAACAUCGAGUCAGACCUGCAAUCUGGUGCCAAAGCUGGUUUUCAGCUCCUAUGGGUGCUACUUGGAGCCACCAUUAUUGGGUUGUUGUUGCAGAGGUUAGCUGCACGCCUCGGGGUCGUCACUGGGAUGCACCUGGCUGAAGUUUGCAACCGCCAGUACCGCCCUGUUCCACGGAUUAUCCUCUGGUUAAUGGUCGAGCUGGCCAUUAUUGGCUCAGACAUGCAGGAGGUCAUCGGCUGUGCUAUAGCUUUCAACCUUCUGUCAGCGGGCAGAAUCCCACUGUGGGCAGGAGUUCUCAUCACCAUCACAGACACAUUUGUGUUCCUCUUUUUAGACAAAUAUGGCCUGAGGAAACUUGAAGCUUUCUUUGGAUUCCUGAUUACCAUGAUGGCUCUGAGUUUUGGUUAUGAGUACGUGCUGGUGAAGCCUGAUCAAGGAGAGCUUCUUAAGGGGAUGUUUUUGCCGUACUGCGCUAACUGCGGGCCUGUGCAGCUGGAGCAGGCCGUGGGAAUCGUUGGUGCUGUCAUCAUGCCCCACAACAUCUACCUGCACUCAGCGCUUGUCAAGUCAAGAGAAGUGGACCGGAAAAAUAAGAAAGAGGUAAAAGAAGCCAAUAAGUACUUCUUCAUCGAGUCAUCUAUCGCCCUUUUUGUGUCCUUCCUCAUCAACGUCUUCGUCGUGGCAGUUUUUGCUCAGGCCUUUCACAAUAAAACCAACAUGGAGGUGAAUGCUGAGUGCAAUGCUACCGGCAUCCCCCAUAGCGACCUUUUCCCUCUCAAUAACGGCACUCUGGAGGUGGACAUCUACAAAGGGGGAGUGGUGCUGGGAUGUUUCUUUGGUCCUGUGGCUCUCUACAUCUGGGCUAUAGGGAUUCUGGCAGCUGGACAGAGCUCCACCAUGACGGGCACUUACUCUGGACAGUUUGUGAUGGAGGGAUUUCUGAACCUGACGUGGUCUCGUUUUGCCCGGGUGCUGCUGACCCGCUCCAUCGCUAUCACGCCAACUCUCCUCGUCGCCAUUUUCCAGGACGUUCAGCAUCUGACUGGGAUGAAUGACUUCCUCAAUGUGCUUCAAAGCAUGCAGCUUCCAUUCGCUUUGAUCCCAAUUCUGACAUUCACCAGUCUGACUUCCAUAAUGAAUGACUUUGCUAAUGGGCUGGUGUGGAAGAUUUCAGGAGGCGUCGUCAUCCUGGUGGUUUGCGCCAUCAACAUGUACUUUGUGAUUGUUUACGUGACUGCGUUGAACAGCGUCCUGCUCUAUGUUAUUGCUGCUCUCCUCUCUGUGGCCUAUCUAUGCUUCUUGAUGUACCUGGUUUGGCACUGCCUGGUUACCUUGGGGGUUUCCUGCUUGGACUGUGGCAGUGGGGUAAGCAACCGACCUGCUGUGCUCAUAGAGGAGCAGUCUGAGUACGAUUCCUAAAGCUGAACACGACAUUAACCGCCUGCAUGACUCUUACCUCUGGGGGAAAACUGCACACAACCAGUAAUUAUUGUAGGAUCAUGUAGGACCUUGAAGUCAGACUCUCUGCUCUUCUCAUGUUAUUUUUGUGUAGGGCUGGAUAUCAACAUUUGAUGCUUUUUAGGCUCUCAGACAUAUCAAAACUACAUUAGCACAGCAUAACUGAGCCAAAUGCUAGUGAGAAGUUAAUUUUAUUAAAACUCUUUACUCUAGAAAUGAAAUUAGCAGCUGUUUUCGGACUUUAACAAGACAUUUAGAAUUACUUGGAACAAUUUUUGUUAUGGAGCAAAGUUAUUGUGCUUUCAGUGACUUUUUCCUAGCUUUUUCUAGCUAAGGCAUACAUCAAUAAUGCAAGCCUACAUUAGACUUUUAUUUGUAACAUAAUCCAAAAGCAGUGCUAGAUGCAUUUCUAACCUCAUAACUAACAAGCAGGUACCGUCCAGCAGAAAACCGUAUGAAGCAGCGGGUUUUCUAUGUGUUGGAGCUGGACAUUUGUGUUUCUUCACAUGCACCCCUUCUGGUACACAAAUAUAAGAUCGCAAGGCUACAGUAGAUCUGUAAAAAUUACAUUUGGUUUAGCUGACGAGCAGCUAAAGGUCUCUAAUGAUAACAAAGACUCCAUGAUUUAGAUCACCUGUUGUUUAAAUUCCUUCAAACCCGAGUCCUUGUCCAGGCCUCGCUGUUAAGUCUGAUCUAGAUUGAAUGUGGGGAAAAAAAGUGAACUUCUCAAGAGUAUACCUUGUGUUUCUGUCUUAUGGAAACUGUUCUAGUAGCAAUUUUGAAAUUUCAGUAAAACAGAUGAAACAAUAUUUUAAAUUAAUGACAAAAAUAUAAUAUGUUGCAUAAAAAGAGGUUUUGCUUCCCACACAUCUUCCUAGAUUUCGUCUUUUAAAUCACUGUUAACUGGAACAUUUAUUCCGCUUAUAAAAAGGAGUUUUAUAAGGAUUUCCAUCCUGACUACCUCAGUGUUCUCUGCUGUUUCAUCUAUGAGUAGCAUCACAUUGUACAUUUUUUGUUGCAUCUAAUAUUUUAAAAAUAUUACUGGGUCAUAAAUAGGUAUUGCUUUAUUUUUAUACGGUAAAAAGCUCUGAAUGAUAUCCAGCCCCAGUGAGUUCUGCCCUCUUGGUUAGUGUUGAUUUUGUUUUUGUGUUCUAAGCUGAUUCUGCUCCAGCACAUAAAGAAAGCUAAAAAAGCAAGUUUCAUUGUUAUGCGCUGGGGUAUGGGGUAUGUUUUGUCACUUUUUGUUUUCUCUUUGCACAAUGUGAGAUUAGACUGAAGCAGGGUUUAAUCUUAAAUUAGUAUUUAUAGAAAAAAAAUAAAUAGAGGGUGCACUCUCAUGCAGUUUUACAGACUUAUACAAGUUCAUAGGUUUUCUGUUACUGCAGCUUCCUCCACUAACAAUGUCUUUAGUGCCUCAAUAAUCCGGUCGCCAGAGAGGCGUGGCCAUGCUUCUGCACGUAUGUGUUGUCUUCUAUAUGAGCUCAUCACCAUACAGACAAUGCAGGAGUUUUUUGAUAUGUCACAGGUGGGGGAAAAACAAAAUGGACUGUUAGUUUCCAUAUGUGACACAUGUUUAGCGCAUUUAUUUAUAGAAAAGAAUCUUUACACAAGUGGAUAAGAGUCUUAUGAUGUAUUCUAGAUAUAUAUUCAUAUGGUUGUUUUGUCAGAAUAUAUUUUUAGCUUUAAAGACUGCGAUGCUGGUAGCGUGGAGAUGGGUUUGCAUCUGAAUUACUUUUAAAAAUAUAUAUAUAAACAGGGAAUAAUAAAAUAUAUAAAAGAAUAAUUUAUAUAUUCUAUAAUUGCAUUUUUAAGAAUUAAAAAAACCAAAAGUUUAACUUUUCUGAAUAAAACUCCAUCCUGUAAGAUUUCUUUGAAAAAGUCGAUGGAUGAAUGCACAUCAUUAAUGUGAGUUGGUUGAAAACCUCUAACCUUAAAGGAAAGUUUGUUUUUCUAGCUUCAAUGUCUGUUUUAAACAGGUUUGUAUACCUUUUUUGGAUCCGUCUGUUCCAAGUAUAAAACUGUUAACUUUUACUGUAGAUAAUUUGAAACCUAGGAUCACUUUGUAGUUUAGCGCUGGAAAGAAAAUGCAUAGAUGAAAACAUAAGAUAUCAAAAAUAAACCUGUCAAAGAAUAUAAAUUUGCAUUUAGUCAUAGUUUAAGAACAGCUGAAAAACAUGCAAAAAACAUGGCCUAGUAUAGUUGUCGUUUGUUUUAAUAAAGUGAGGAAAGAACUGGUCAUUCUAAUGUUUUGCAGAAUUUUAUGACGGUAAAUCAUUACUUAUGACCAGAAAAAGCCUCUCAUAUUUUUCAUGAAGUUAAGUUGAUUCUAAGAAGAAAUGAGUAAUAAAGCAAUACAUUUGAAAUUGUGUAAUAUAAUAAAGCUGUAAACUGAGCAAUAUCCAAGUGAUGUGAAGAUGUUCACAGAUGGGAGCACUGUGUUAAAGCAGUAAGCCUAGUUCAGAUCUGCAUUCAGGAAUAACCGUCACAGGAAGGGAUCGUUUUCUUCGUUGGAGGGGUUUGUUUGUUUGUUUGUUUAUCAUGGGUCAAACCCAGCUCCAGAUUUAUACAUUUUAAGCUCUUUCUUUUUUGUUGAACUAUAUAUAUAUAUUUGCUUUUACACAACUUUGAGUUUUUCACUGUUAGGAAUACCUCACACAGCUACACAAACAAAAACAAAAAAAGGAAACGCACAAGCGUUACAGAAAACUAUCUGAAAGUAAUGAUGUCUACACUGAAAGUGUUAUGUGAUAUUUUCUUCAUUUCUGUUGUUCUAUGAUGCUGGAUGAAGCACCCCAUGUGUCCAAAAUAAAAGCUAAUUAUGGAUAUGUGGACAUGUGUUGGAGUCUUCUGUCUCAGCGUCUACAACCUGGCUUGUGAUAAGUUGUAAUUAACCGUCAAAUAUAUUCGAUAUACCAAAAGUUUGCACAAUCAUGACAAAAGGUGGGUUUUUCUGAUGUAAAACAUUACACCACGUUAAAGUAUUUACAAGCUUUUUAUGCUGUACAAUUUAACAAAAACUUCAAAAUCUGGUGAAGCGAUUCUUUUCUUUUUACAAAAUUACAGUAACUGUGUUGCAUGAGUGUGCACACCCUUAAACUAAUAACCCGAGGAAGCACUUUUUUUUUUUAAUUUAACAGUCAGUGGUCUUUGGUAAGAGUCUAUCAGCAUUCAUCAUCCUGACGCGACAAAAUUUGCUGAUUCUAGCUUGCAAAAAUUCUUCAAGUCCUUCAUCUUGUUUGGACGUCUCUGCAGUUCUCUUCAGGUGACCCAACAGAUAUUCUGUCAGAUUUGGUUCUAGAUAAAAUUAAGUCUGACUCGACCAUUAUAAAACUGUUUACUAAAAAAUUAUCCUGGAUCCUUUUGAUUCUUUGUUACCUUUCUGCAAACUAGGGCUUUAUCUUGCAAAUGUCAGGGAAAUCAUACUAAACGCCUGGUUCAUCACAUUCAGUGGAACUUAUAUUAGAUGUGUACUAACAAAUUUUGUUUUACUUCUUAGUCAAAGGCAUUGCUCAUUUAAGCAACCAUGGCGCUGGGGGUUAUUUAAAUUUAAAAUGUUUCUUGUUAGCAGAUAUUUUAUUUUAUUUUUACAAGAUAAAUCUCACAUUAAAAUUGAAAACGUUUUGAAAUUACUUAUAGUGGUUUCUUUUUUUAUUAUGCUUUUUUAUUAUUAUUACAAAAAACUUAAUUUGUGUGCCCUUUAGUUAUUACAAUUUAUUUACUUUACUUUUUUAGGAGCUGGGAUGUGUAGUUCUUUAACAAAAGAAAUAAAUGACCAUGAUGAGAAAUAAUCACCUUUGAUCAAUCAGAUUUUAUUUAUAGAAGCGGUUUUCAUACAGCAAAAUUUCCACCUCACACAAGUUACUGGAACUGAGGAAACACUGAAGAAUAUAAAAACUGCAAGGUUUGAAAACAAAAAAAUACUUUCACCAUAAGAUAUAAUACUACAUUUUUUUCAAAAAUUGUGAAAAAUAGAUAAAAAAGAUAUUAACGACAUUAUGAUAAAACUAAAAUUGCAUUAGAACCAAACCCACUCAAACUGUACUCAAAAUUUGAUAAACAGAUAAAGUGAGAGGUGGGUAAUAAAAAACUAAAGUUCAUGUAAAAACCAUGUUAGGAGAAGAUUUUUAUUUGAAUUUUAAAAAUAUUAACACUCAUAGCUCUCCUCGUCUUAUCAGAAAGGCUGCUCAAAAACUGUUUCACAUGCAGUUAAAAAGUGCAUAAAUCGCUUUUGGUCAUCUGGAUAUGUGGCAGUAUAAAGCUGUGAGCCAACUGGUAGAAUAUAGGAUUAAAAAGUGUGGGACCUAAACAUUGAGCCUUGUGGAACUCCAUGAUCUUAUUCAUAAAAUGUUAAUGAAGCAUUCCCCCUAUUUAAAAAUAAUUUCCUGUCUUUAGGAUACAAACUGAGCCACUUAAGGACAGUUAUGGAAAUUCCAGUCUGUCCCAAGCUGAUGAGGAAACCUAACUAAUAAUAGUUACGUUGUAUUUUUAGAGCAAUAUGUGGGUUUGGGAGCCUUUGUCCAUAUACAGUGAUAGAUUUACAGUCAAAAAGACAGUUAUUAGUUUUUAAACACUUUAUCUUCAGUUUGUUAGCCGAGGCACACUUCAAUCAUACCAAAAGAUAUCACAACAUAUUGAGUUAACAGUUUACCCCCUUAUUACUCACCUCUAUUAGGAAAGAGAUUGAUGGUGGGUCAAAGUUCAUGUACUUCAUGUGGUUUAUAUACAAACUGGAAAGCAGGGCAGUGUAUCAAAACUGACGUAAUAGUAAAACCCUAACAAAAACAUAACUAUUGUAAUAUCUAAUCUAUCAAAUCAAAUCAAUGUUGUGCUAAAUAACAGAACUGCCAUGUAAUAUCCUUCUGAGACCCAGAAGAAAAAAGGUUUUGGUAUUUAGAUUUUUUUUUUUGAUAGUUUUAAGUAUUAAGGUUGAAAGAAACAUAUGGCAACAAUUUUGUUUUUCAUAAAUGUUAUUUAUUUAGAUUUUAUCAAUCGUCUCUUACACUGGACAUUGGGUCUUGCUUGGUAAAAAGGUUUUCUUCACUUAAUGAGCAUUUAAAACUGAUAAAUUCCAAUUACUAAAUACUUAAAACAGAUCAAUCCUUUUUUAAAUUCCUAAACAUUCAGAACAUUUGAAUGAAUGGCAUUAAGUAGUGCUUAUAAUACCAAUUAGAUAUCUGAAACAUGUCUAAAUAUCAAAAAAUCAGCACCGUGAUAAAUGUAACAUCUUUGUCAAAUGGAGAGACCCAUAUUUUUUAUGUUAUCUUUGGGUGGGGGUUCAACAUGCCUUCUCUUAGUAUUGUACUCUUCAUCUUGAAUGUACUCUUCAUCUUCAUUGCUCCUCUCAUCAUCAUCACUGGCCACCUUGCCAGCUUGCUGACCUAGACUACCCUGUGCCCGAGCAACCAGUUCUUCAGCCAGACGCAAAUUAAAGUCAAAAUAUUGUAGCUUCUUCCUCAAUGGUUUCCCAGACACCUGGUGGUCUGACCAGCACUCAAUCCAGCUGUUUGUGGCUGCCGAUCAAAAACGUGAUAGAAUGAAUAGUCAGUUCUUUUGCGUGGCUUGACUUUGGGUAAAACCUGAUUAUGCAAUCAUACAAAUCAACCCCACCCAUGUUUUUGCUGUACUCAGCUACAAAAGCAGGUCUGGGCACAAUAAUGCGGCAGCUCUCUUUUGCCGUCCAUCCCCUGCAGGUAUCUUGGGUGCUCUAUUCCAUAGCCACUUGAAGCCAUCAGAACCACCUUAUUGUCCUGCCACUUUCUCACUGCAACCUCUAAUGGUUUGUGGACAACCAUUUCAGAUGUGCCUCUGCCUUGUUCUUGUAACUUUUUAGUUACUUUUUAUUGAGACCUCCACUUCCAGAGGGCAUCAUUCUUUUUCUCCUCCUCAGAGACAUUAAGGUCAUUAGUGACUUUGAUGGUCUGCCUAAUCUUGAAGAAUCUGUUACGAGACUAGCUAUAACAGGGACCCUUGUCUUUGCUGCCCAGUACAUGUGGAUCCUGGGGUAUCUGAGACAUGCCAUGUAAAUGAAGAUACCAAAGAAGGCUUUGAGCUCUUCCACAGUGGGGUUAAGGCUGCUUUCAGAGAUAAGCACCUCUCACUGGUUUGUGUAUUCUGCCAUGUUUUCAAAAAUGCUGUUAUUUAUGUAUUGUUUGAAGUCAUCAGUCGGCUUCUAGUCUUGAUGAUUGUGCCUAGUGCUUUCCUGCAAGGCAUUCUCCUCCAGAACAGGGCUGAAACUAAGUUGAUGAAAAAAGGAGAUGUAUAGUUUAACAUAAUGCAAUAUAUUAUAUAAUUGCUAUUACAAAGUUUUAGAUUGUCUCUAUGUGUUCUCUAUUAAAAAAAGAUCAGACUUUCCUUUGCAGAAACUAUUUCCAAUAAAUUCCACGACCCUAGCUUAUACAUUGCUUUUCAUCCAUAUUGGUUGGUAGAUGUCUUCACUUUGGUCCUGUUCAGGCUCCUCUGAACCUUCACCCUUCUGCUCUACUAUCUGGCCCUCCUCCUCAUCAUCUCCUGACAGUUCUUAUGUCUAACUCUCCUUUCACAAUUCUCUUUGAGAUCAUCUCUGCCUCACUCAGCCCUCUGUUCCCUGAAGCAUGAAAUUAGUUAGUCCCGCUGUCCCCUACAGAUGACACUGGAUAAAACUUGUGUUUUGACAGUGUCAACAUCAUUGUACAUUUCUCAAAUUUUACUAAAUUAUGGUGAAGGCUUUCAUAUUGAAGAGGAAAUGUAAUGUUUAGCAACAGACAUGAUUUUUGAAAGAAAAUUGACCACUUACUACCUCUGCUGCCAUAAAAUGUGGAUGCAGGGAUUUCCACCAUUUUAAAAAGGGAAGUGCAUGUUCUCUGUUAGCCACACCCCCACAACUGUGGCAUCAGUAGAAAGCCCAGGAUGUCCUCUUUACAGCACAGUGAGACUAAUAUAGGUUGCAAAUGUGAUGUUUAAAUUAGAGGGCUGAAAAUCAUGUCCCCCACAGAGGACAAAAAUGAAUUGAUGGGUCUCAGGAGGAUAAAACCACACACAUGUAUGUGAGGGGACAAAAACAAACUGGUAAGAACAAGAUAGUGACAAUAUCGGGAAGUUGCUUUACCUUUCCUCAGUGUGGAGCCAAGUUGAGUUUUAGUUACAAUAUAGUGUCAGCACUAUAUACUGUUGGAGCAGAUGAUGUAAAAAAGCACGAAUGUGUUUGACUUUAAACUGUCUUUGUACAAUCCUUCCUAGAGUCAACAGCCAGAGGGUAAGCUUUUGCUGGUAUUAAAUUGGCUUUUUUUUCACCAAAUUAAUUAAGCCCAAAUUAUUCAUACCCCUGACAAAUUUCGGUUAAUUUUUAUCAACAUAUUAUUUGUAUGUUUUUGGAGUGGCCCAACUAGUCCCGACUUCAACCUGACAGAGAAUCUGUGGAGGGAGUUCAAGAUUAGAGUGAUGGGAAGGAGGCCUUCCAACCUCAGAAACGUGGAGCUCAUCAUCAGAAUAACAUUGGAAUCGUGGAAAAAGCUGGUCAGCAAAUAAAUUAAAGUAUUACCGAUGCCUGGUAGACUGUCUCGUCACACAGACAUUUACCUACUGAAUGACAUGGAGACCGAUCCGCAGGCUGGGUGAUAAUAGGACGCCCGGUGCAGUCUGGUGCUGCACUGUGACUGUAGACACACGACUUGACUAGAGGGACCUUUGAAGCUCGGCCAGUAUAGUUUUCUCUUCAACCUUCAGUGUCUAACAUCUGCUAAAGUGUCCUUAUAGUGCACCAACAGACACUUAAACAGUGAAUCCUGGACCUCAACUUGUGUAUUAAAUGCUAUGUGGAUGCCUGAGAAGCUGAAAAAUACCAUCUUCACAAAAGAAAGGACACUAACUGUUGACAGCGACCCACUACAUCACAUAUGCGAUCAUUUCCGUUGUGGAUGAACUAGAUAAUCAAACCUUAAUAAUGAAUUAUCAGAGUUAUAGAUUGAAUGUGGGUGUCCAUCAUCCCCAACAAGCUGCUGCACACCGCUCCUUAUCUUUCAUCUCUUUCCCAUCUUUAACACUUCUCCAUCAGGGGAAAAGAAUAUUUUAGUUUUUGCAAGCAUCUAGAUAUUUAUAAAAUGUCAUCUCUGUAUUAACAGCUCAUACUCUAUGGCACAGUGUGUUUGUUGUUUUAAAUGAUAGUUCUUUGUCAGGGACCAAGCUGCUUCCCAACAGGCUACAAAAUCAUUGGACAAAUGACUUAUUUUGACUCAGUCAUGUAAGAAAAUCCUCCUGUUUGGGGAAAAAUGUCAUCUGGUCUUUAGGUGCUUAGUUUAGGUUGAUGGGUGUUACAGGAUUGUUAUUACUAAAAUAUAGACAAUAACCUUUCAAUCUUCUUUCCAAAUAAUUUGGAGACAUUUUUGGGCAUUUGGGAAACAAGCAUGUUAAAUUAUACUGAGAAAUCAUUCAUAAUUUAUACAUCCAAAAAUGUUCAGUCUCACAUUUUCUGUCCACCUGCGUCACUUCAGUUAUUGCACCAGGAGUUCUGCUUUCAUGCAGAUGGGUGAAGAAACCCAGAAAGCAGCAGUAGAACAACGUCUGCCGUGUAAAAUGAACUUUGAAUGGAUUCAAAAUUCUUAUCAUGGGUGUGUAGCUAAAGGGGCUCCGAGAUGUGUAUAAAAUUAAACAUGCCCUUUACAAGUAAGUAGAAAUAAAUGCAGAUAAACAACAACACAGUUCAUUAUUACUGUGGGUCAGUAUAUGUAAAAAUAAUCCAGUAUGGAAGAUUAUCAUAACAUCUGUAGUUAAUAGUGGUGUAAUAAAACAAAUGAUUUAAUUAUGAAAGACAAUAAAUGACCCAGAUCAGUGCAUCAGAUGACAAUCACUUCAAGGUGUUGCUGAUACAGAAGGUUGGCAAAACUGCUGAGUUAUUUAUUUUCUACCAUUUUUUAUUUAUUUUUAGCUAAAUAAAUAAUUGUUUUAUUCCUACUAAGAAUCAGAUUUUUUUUUUGUUUCAAUCUGAAUCAUACAACGCUAAAUUAUUAGUUCAUAGGUAAAAUCUCUAAUAUGUAUGUAAAGAUUCUAGGGUUUAUGAGAUAUUAUAUAUUGGUUACACUUCCCCCUUUGUUUUUUAAUAACAUGUAAGAAAAUAGCAGUUUUACGUCACUUUCUUUCUGUAACAGUGUUGUAAAAUAUUUAAAGAGCCCAUUUAAUCUUCGAGUACGAAGUUGAUGUAAUCUUAUGUUUUGGCAAAGUUAGCUUUUAUUUGAAAAACAGUAAAUUAUUUUAUUCAUUUUGUACACAGCUGCAGUGUUUUCUUCUACCAUAUUCCAUUAUAUAAUGUAGUGUGAAAUAAAACCCAUUUUGAGGGGAUAUUGUGUGUAGGAGAACCAGACCAGCUGUAGUUAUGAAACAAUGUUUUAGUUCUUUUGAAGGCCAACAUCUUCAAACACUCAAUCUGAGAUGGUCAGAAAUGGUGAACUGUGAUGCUGCUGCUCAUUCUUUGUUUUUAGAGUGACGAACUAAGCUUUGGGCAUGCAUUGCGCAGUUUGUGACAAGUGGGAGAAAAUAAUGCUAAGAUUAAUUAUUCUCCUUUAGGUAUUUUAUUAGUGUCAUUAUUAUAAUAAAAAUAUGUGAUAAAUACCUAAAAUUUGAAGCACACACAAUCCAAAGGAUAAAUCGUCAUGUGUUCUCAUUUUGUAAACGUUUCCAAGGUUUUAAAUGCUUUAUACAUGUUUAACUUUCUGUUCAUGUUACCCUCAUUUUAUUUAAAUGUUACUCCUUCAGUCUGUUUAUCUGAAGUCAGUUAAUUUUUUUUCUAAAAAUCAUUUGUGUUUAUCUUUCUAAUUAUGUACAUUUUUCCUUGUUUCGAAUGUUUUAAUUGGUUUAGAUGCCAUGAGAAGCUACAAUAGCCUUGUUUUGGGGGUAAAAAAUGGCAGCUGAAGUGAACUGCUGUGAUAAUGGGGCAGUGUGAGUCGCUGAAUGUAUCAUGUUACUUAAAAUUGGUUUAUUUUUUUUUAUUUAAAAAAAUGGACUAGAGUCCAUUCAGAGAAAUUGAUAGAAAUCAGAACAGAAUCCUCCGAGACACUCUGACACCAGAGGAACAAAAUAAGGGUCAUUAACCUUUACCUAGAGGAGAAUAAAGGAGAGGACAGAAACCCACAGCAAAUACUAACAUCAAAUAAUAAACAUCUCUACAGUAACACGUGAUGACUGUGAAUAUGCACUACUGAUUAGCAUCAUUAAAUCCAAAUCCGUUCCCUGACCAAAUAUCAAACUGAACUUGUGCUUUAUGUUAUUUCAUAAGUGCCUUGUCUGUUCACCAGUGUGCCUCAGCUAAAAAAUGUUGGACACUUAUUUUUUAAAUUUAUACUAAACAAAAAAAGCAUCUGUUAACUAAAUUACAUGAGAAAAGAUCAGUAUAUUUAAAGGCCUUACAAUGGGCUAUAGAAGCUUUUUCUGUUGCGUUUUUGUAUAUUUGGUUAAAAGAGGUGUUUCAUGUGGAUUUCCACGUGAUUCCAGUUUUUAAGGGAGUUACUAUUUUUAAGGCUGUCGCGUUAAAUUUGGCACAUUUGUUUAUAGCCAUAUUCUGAUCUGAUCUUUAGAUAUAAAACUACUGUAAUGGUAUGUGGUAGUUUAUUUCUGAAAUUAUGAAACUGUGCAGUAGGGUCCACCAUUGAGAACAAAUGUAAAAGUGGUUUUCUCUCAUCUGUAUUUUCAUGUUUUAAUUUAGUAUUUUGUUAAACCAAACAAUUGGAGCAUUCUUAAAAAGCUGUUUGUUAAAAAUAAAUAUAUCCAUAAUUUUA